GAUGAACGCUGGCGGCGUGCCUAAUACAUGCAAGUCGAGCGAACAGAUGAGGAGCUUGCUCCUCUGACGUUAGCGGCGGACGGGUGAGUAACACGUGUAUAACCUACCUAUAAGACUGGGAUAACUUCGGGAAACCGGAGCUAAUACCGGAUAAUAUAUUGAACCGCAUGGUUCAAUAGUGAAAGACGGUUUUGCUGUCACUUAUAGAUGGAUCCGCGCCGCAUUAGCUAGUUGGUAAGGUAACGGCUUACCAAGGCAACGAUGCGUAGCCGACCUGAGAGGUUGAUCGGCCACACUGGAACUGAGACACGGUCCAGACUCCUACGGGAGGCAGCAGUAGGGAAUCUUCCGCAAUGGGCGAAAGCCUGACGGAGCAACGCCGCGUGAGUGAUGAAGGUCUUCGGAUCGUAAAACUCUGUUAUUAGGGAAGAACAAAUGUGUAAGUAAAUAUGCACGUCUUGACGGUACCUAAUCAGAAAGCCACGGCUAACUACGUG
rnacentral:rRNA from 1 species